ACACAAGCGAUGAAGAGAAGAGUAGGCAGGCGGCAGCGUUCACAGAGAGCUCCAGAGUGGUGAAAUGGGGCAGCGAAGCGUCUGAUCUGAAAAAAGUCUCUGAGCUGCAUACGGAAUUGGGCACAAUGCCCAAGGAUGCUAUGCCGGGAUCUCCCGUUACAGAGAUAGGGUAUAAGCGUAAUGGCCGUACCCGAAGAGGCGGGCCUGGCAACAUGUCCGCGAACAGAGGUGGUACCGCGAAGCUUAUUCAAGCUCUCGUCCUCAAG
rnacentral:ncRNA from 1 species